rnacentral:rRNA from 1 species
AUGCCAGCUCUUCUUCCCCGCGACAUCGCUGACUCCAUCCCAUUCUCCACCGAGCACCUCUCAGACAUCAUCACGAUGUUCGCGCCGGCGUCCCUCACGAUGACCAGAGAGAUACGGUGGACGAUGGAGACCUGCGAGCACCCACGGACGCUGCCCGGCCAGAAAGCAGGCUGCGCCACCUCCCUCGAGUCCCUCGCUGAGCUUCCGGCGUCCCUCCUUGGGAGGAGCAAUGUCCGCGCGUUCUCCGCCGUGGAUCUGCCCAUGGAUGACCCGGGAAAACCUGCGCUUAGGGGGAGGUACAAGGUGACGGCUGCACGGAAGCUCUCCGGGUCAUCAUCUGAGGUCGUAACCUGCCAUGACCUGACCUUCCCGUACGCGGUGUACUACUGCCACACGUCCAGCCCUACGGCUGCGUACAUGGUGACGCUGGCGAGCGUGGAAUAG